CGACCGCUUUUUUAAGCCAAGGCCAGACGGACAGCCGGGUCGGAUGCCGA
rnacentral:sRNA from 12 species